UACAGAGGUCCCGAGCGUUGUUCGGAUUCACUGGGCGUAAAGGGUGCGUAGGUGGCGAGGUAAGUCGGAUGUGAAAUCUCGGAGCUCAACUCCGAAACUGCAUUGGAAACUACCUGGCUAGAGGUUUGGAGGGGGGACUGGAAUGCUUGGUGUAGCAGUGAAAUGCGUAGAUAUCAGGAGGAAUACCGAUGGCGAAGGCAGGUCUCUGGGCUGAUACUGACGCUCAUGCACGAAAGCGUGGGGAGCAAACAGG
rnacentral:rRNA from 1 species